rnacentral:tRNA from 1 species
UCCUAUAUGGUCUAGUGGUUCGGAUUUGGCGCUUUCACAGCCAAGGCCCAGGUUCAAUUCCCGGUGUGGGAA